rnacentral:lncRNA from 1 species
UUUUUUUUUUAAUUUAUUAUUUUUUUCUUACGAUAUUAUAUAAUUACAAAUAACAAUAUAGAAAAAAUAGAAUAUAUGUUUUAAAAUUUGGGACAGGAACUUUAUCAUUUUAAUUUAUUAUGUAAUUAAGAAAUAUAUAAUGUACAAACAACAAGUAAAAACAAACAUGGAAUAUGUAUUUGCAUGUCUUAAUUAAUCAACAUGAUUAACAUGUAACUUUAAAAACAGGCAAGCUUUUAAAUACGCAUUUACCCCUUAUGUACAAUCGUUUUUUUAUGGAACAGACGAUAUUUUAUGUUACCAUAACAACUAAACUUUGCAAUACUAAUAACACCUGGCGACAGCAAUAUGAUACAGAUACAAAAUAAAACAUAGUAAUUAAGAGACCUACAACCAUAUUCUUAUAGUUAUCUGACUGACGUCAAAGGUAUUUGUAUUGCUUAUCAGGUAAUUAUUAUUUCACGUGCUUCAAGUGGAUUUUUUUAAAGAAAGAAGUAUAGAUAAAUAUAAAAAUGUAUAUCACCCUAUUUUCUUUGAAUACCUUUGACAUUUCAAUAAAUUGGAACAAGUUUUUUAAAGAUCUAUUAUUGGUUUUACAAUUUAAAAAAUAAAAUAAAUAUAUUUCUAAUAUAUGUCAUUUCAAUAAUGUAAAAGCCUGUCAAAUUUCAAUUUAAUUGUUAUUUUGAAAAGAUACUUUUUCAAUGUAUCAACCCACUUAUUCAUUUCGUUUUUUAAACAAAUUGAGCCCCUCAUGGGGGGUCCUAGUAAUCACAUAAUCACCAUUUUUUUGCCAAUAUAAUCACAUAAUCAUUAAA